UACGGGGGGGGCAAGCGUUGUUCGGAAUUACUGGGCGUAAAGGGCUCGUAGGCGGCCGAUCAAGUCAGACGUGAAAUCCCUCGGCUCAACCGGGGAACUGCGUCUGAUACUGUUUGGCUUGAAUCUGGGAGAGGGAUGCGGAAUUCCAGGUGUAGCGGUGAAAUGCGUAGAUAUCUGGAGGAACACCGGUGGCGAAGGCGGCAUCCUGGACCGGUAUUGACGCUGAGGAGCGAAAGCCAGGGGAGCAAACGGG
rnacentral:rRNA from 1 species